rnacentral:rRNA from 1 species
GACGAACGCUGGUGGCGCGCCUAACACAUGCAAGUCGAGCGAUGAACAUUGAAUGAUCCCUUCGGGGUGAUUUCGAUCGGAUUAGCGGCGAACGGGUGAGUAACGCGUGAGGAACCUGCCUCUUACAACGGGAUAGCCUCGGGAAACCGGGAUUAAUACCGUAUAAGACUCCGACAUCUCCUGAUGAUGAAGUCAAAGCGUUAGCGGUAAGAGAUGGCCUCGCGUCUGAUUAGCUUGUUGGCGGGGUAACGGCCCACCAAGGCGACGAUCAGUAACCGGCCUGAGAGGGUGAACGGUCACAUUGGAACUGAGACACGGUCCAAACUCCUACGGGAGGCAGCAGUGGGGAAUCUUGCACAAUGGGGGCAACCCUGAUGCAGCGACGCCGCGUGAGCGAUGAAGGUUUUCGAAUCGUAAAGCUCUGUCCUAUGGGAAGAUAAUGACGGUACCAUGGGAGGAAGCCCCGGCUAACUACGUGCCAGCAGCCGCCGUAA